rnacentral:rRNA from 1 species
GACGAACCGUGCGAACGUUGUUCGGAAUCACUGGGCUUAAAGGGCGCGUAGGCGGCUCACAAAGUCGGGGGUGAAAUACUUCAGCUUAACUGGAGAAGUGCCUUCGAUACUGGUGGGCUUGAGGGAGGUAGGGGUCUUUGGAACUUCUGGUGGAGCGGUGAAAUGCGUUGAUAUCAGAAGGAACGCCGGUGGCGAAAGCGAAGGACUGGACUGCAACUGACACUGAGGAACGAAAGCCAGGGGAGCAAACGGG